GUUCGCUGCCGAGGGACGUGAAGUCAAGGCACAUACUGAGAUAAUAGUAAUAUAGACCGGGUCGUGACUAUUACUAUCACCAUUAUUCAAUUAUCCACUGUAAGGAUUCAGUGGGAUUGUGGUGAAAAUCUAAACAUGCAUGUCAGCGUGUUACCACGUGGCGGAAGGAGCCCACGUGUGCCCGCUGACUGCUGCUGGGGGACGCGACUGUUUACUAAAAGCGGGACUAGAGUUAUUACAAAUAAUGACCGUGCGAUAUGAUGGUGAAGAACUACUUUGAGUUAAGCAUUUAGCAGUGUUUCAACACUACUAAAGAAUGCAACAAAAAGCAUUGUAUUCAAAUUUGAUACCGAGUGCAGACGUGAAAGAUGGCCGCUACUGGUUCAAGACUCAAGACUCCCUUGAUGGUGUCAUGUUACCGGCUGGACUGGACCAGGCUUGCUGCCCAAUGCAUCUAUUGAAGAUGGUUUGAAGCACGCAUCAUGUGAUCGGCUUGAAGUGAACAUCUGGAUCAUUCUGAUGGAGCAGACUUCAUUACCCUCUGUUGAAGAUGGAUUGAGGCCCAUCGUGGGGACGUGACCAAAUUGCCGUGAACAUUUGGAUCCUCCAAUGAUGCACACCUCCUUCCCUUUUAUUGAAGAUUGUUUGAAGCGCACGUCAUGUGACCGGCUUGAAGUGAACAUCUGGAUCAUUCCGAUGGAGCAGACUUCAUUGCCCUCUGUAAGUGUACUUGCAACAACUUUGCAACCUCGAGGAGAAAUCUGUAAAAUGGAUCUGGGAUACAUUUGGAAUGACAACGAGUUAGAAUGUUCAUUUUGGAGCAAACGGCGCAUAUGGACGCAUUCUUAAAUUUGCUGUUUUUACCGACUACCAAAACGCUAUUGUCUCAAAAUAAAAACAAAAUCGCUAUUUUAAACCACUUGCAAGGCUAGAAGUAGCCCGAAAAUAGCUUAGUAUAAUAAGGGUCUUAACAUAUAAAAGGCAUUGAUAACUUUGUAAGUGUACAGAUUAGGGAUGGGCAUUUGAAGAAAUGUCCUUGAUCGAGCAUCGUUAGAGUUAUCGAUCAAUUAUCGAUUAAUCAUUCAAUAAGUAGCCAACUUAUCGGACAACAAUAAUCAAACAAAGGCAGUAGGCUAAAAGUGGGCAUUAAACUGUAUAACUGUUUUGAAAAAAGGCCGACAUAUAAUGCCUAUAGGCUGCAGCCGGCGCGCGGAAAAGGCUCGUAACAAAAAGACGAGCCACCCAUUUACAAACAAUUGCAUGAACAAGUCUAUCUAAAAGCAAUACCUUAUUGAACAUAUAUAAGGCUGAACUUGUUGCUAAAAUAUCAGUUUUGGCAAAAUGUAACGACUCCAAGAGGCACCAAGCCAAAAGAAAAGCGGAGCGAGAGACGACCCAUUAAGAAAAAAAAGAGCGACUCACAUACGGUGGUGACUGUCCCUACUGUCCAUAGCAUACAGUAACUCCAGCCUACAUAUUUUUGUUUAGGAAUAUAAGCAUGUUAACAUGCUCGCGGGUCAGACGCGAACGCAGCCUUGUAACUGUCAGUCCAGCAGCAGAAAACACCCGCUCUGACGGGACCGAAGUUGCGGGGAUGCAGAGGUAUUGUCGCGCUAACUUUGACAGCCUGGGGAACCUUCUUCCUUCACUUUCCACCAGUCGGCAGGGUGGUAUUUCUCCCACAUAUUGAUAUUCAAUUAAAUGCUUCAAGACUCACAGUAUGCAACACAACGUCCUUUUGAUCGAUAACAAUAUAAAUUGAUCGACGCAUUUCUUAAGGAUCGAUUAUCGAGCAUCGAUUAAUUAUGCCCAUCCCUAGUACAGAUGUUUAUUAACAAAGGACAUUUUAUACACACAAUACCAUCAGUAGUUCACCCAUCAACGCCAUCUUGUCUUUAAGACUCCAUAGGUAGGUUGGCGAACACAGAGCUUGUGACAUCCGUAAACAAAGGGCAAGCUCCCAAUCUACUUAUUGAGUCUUAUCGACAAGAUGGCGUCAACGGGUGAACUACUGAUGGUAUUGUGUGUGUGUAUAAAAUGUCCUUGGUUAAUAAACAUCUGUACACUUGCAAAGUUAUCAAUGCCUCGUUUAAUAUUCCAAGACCCUUAUUAUAUUACGAAAGAAGUGUCGGGCUACUUCUAGCCUUGUCAGUAGUUUAAAAUAGCUAUUUAGUUUUUACUAUGAGACAUGCCCCCAUCGUUCCAAGUUUAAAGCGGUUUUGGUAGAAACGGCUAAAAACAGCCAACCUAAGAAUGAGUCUAUGAGCUUUUUUGCUCCCAACCGAACAGUCCAUCUCAUUAUCAUACUAAACAUAUCCCAGAUCCAUUUUACACAGGAUUUCUCCUUUAAGUCUGUCGGUGAUGAUUUGUUAUAAGGUUCUUCUGACUUAAAUGAAGCUUACUCGCAGCGCACAGACAUUUAAAAAAAAAAUGUAACCAUUUGGUGGCGGUCACACAACUAGGGUCUCACUCUGCUACCUUUUUCAUUUCAGAUUGAAGAUGGUUUGAGGCCCAUGAUUGUCAUGUGACUGGUAAGUCUAGUCCUGGGUUAAGAUGACUGUUGGUGUUACGUGCUUAAGUGAUGAAUCACUUGACUAGAGUCUCUGACUAACUCAUGAAGCUAUUUCACAGUACACUGACAAGCGCGUGCUGCUUGUCUUAAAUUGAAUGUUAAAUGCAGUUGAUGCUAACCAAUUGCAUCCUUAUCUUUGAAACAGACAUUACGUGAACAUUGGGAUCCUCCAAUGGCACAGACCUCCUUCCCUCUGUAAGUGUACUUGCCACAACGUGGUCGCUUCUAUCAGUCGAUGAUGAUUUGUUAUAAGGUUCUUCUGACAAAACAUGAAGCUUACUCGCAGCGCACUGAGACUGAAGCCAUGUUUGGAUGAUCUUUGUACACCGUGUUCUGUCAACUAAAAAUGUAUUUGCCUUUUUGCAGAUGUAUAAGCCCUGGCAGAGCAGGAGCCACUUGAGGGAUGACAUCCAGUAAGUUUUAACUUUGCCUCAGCUUCGGAUGAUUAAAACUAAUAUGCUGUAAUGAUGAAUUCACUAGACUAGAGUCUCUGACUAUCACCCAUGAAGAUCUUUCACAGUACGCUGACUUGGCAUACCGUAGUCGUUCAUUCAAAGCUGUUCAUUGUAAUUUGUACUAAUAUAUUUUCCCUUUAAUAGACAAGUAACGGAUCGAUUACAAACAGGAAACGACAAGCCUAUGUUGACUUGUGAGUAGCCCGCUCCUAUUAGUUUGCGGCAUAACCCUGGAGGCAGCAUUUUCUUAUAGUACGGUUUCUGCAAAUGCUCAGAAUUGAUGCUAAAAGAUGUAUAUCUUUUUAUGUCUUACAGGUGCCGUUUUUGGAAGACUCUAGAAAUUCAUCAAACUCAAUUAAGAGGUGUUAUGCUGAUGUGCUGCCCUACACCUCUAUGAAAUGUCCUCUAUUGAAUCUGUCUUAUAAUAAAGACUUUGAUAAAAAAUCGAAUUGUACUGUUGGAUUGAACAAAUGGUUAGUCUUGACUGGGAUUUUCAGAAAUGAACACUUUGUGAAAUUACCUUAAACUGCACUUCAAUAAAAA
ensembl:lncRNA